AAUAGAUACCCUGGUAGUCCAUGCCGUAAACGAUGUCUACUAGCCGUUGGGGCCUUUGAGGCUUUAGUGGCGCAGCUAACGCGAUAAGUAGACCGCCUGGGGGAGUACGGUCGCAAGAACUAAAACUACAAAUGAAUUGGACGGGGGCCCGCACAAGCGGUGGAGCAUGUGGUUUAAUUCGAUGCAACGCGAAGAACCCUUACCUGGUCUUGACAUAGUAAGAACUUUCCAGAGAUGGAUUGGUGCCUUCGGGAACUUACAUACAGGUGCUGCAUGGCUGUCGUCAGCUCGUGUCGUGAGAUGUUGGGUUAAGUCCCGCAACGAGCGCAACCCUUUUCCUUAUUUGCCAGCACUUCGGGUGGGAACUUUAAGGAUACUGCCAGUGACAAACUGGAGGAAGGCGGGGACGACGUCAAGUCAUCAUGGCCCUUACGACCAGGGCUACACACGUGCUACAAUGGUCGGUACAAAGGGUUGCUACCUAGCGAUAGGAUGCCAAUCUCGAAAAAGCCGAUCGUAAGUUCCGGAUUGGAGUCUGC
rnacentral:rRNA from 1 species